rnacentral:rRNA from 1 species
AACGAACGCUGGCGGCAGGCUUAACACAUGCAAGUCGAACGCCCCGCAAGGGGAGUGGCAGACGGGUGAGUAACGCGUGGGAAUCUACCCAUCUCUGCGGAAUAGCUCUGGGAGGCUGGAAUUAAUACCGCAUACGCCCUACGGGGGAAAGAUUUAUCGGGGAUGGAUGAGCCCGCGUUGGAUUAGCUAGUUGGUGGGGUAAAGGCCUACCAAGGCGACGAUCCAUUGCUGGUCUGAGAGGAUGAUCAGCCACAUUGGGACUGAGACACGGCCCAAACUCCUACGGGAGGCAGCAGUGGGGAAUAUUGGACAAUGGGCGCAAGCCUGAUCCAGCCAUGCCGCGUGAGUGAUGAAGGCCUUAGGGUUGUAAAGCUCUUUCACCGAUGAAGAUAAUGACGGUAGUCGGAGAAGAAGCCCCGGCUAACUUCGUGCCAGCCGCCGCGGUAA